rnacentral:rRNA from 1 species
GACGAACGCUGGCGGCGUGCUUAACACAUGCAAGUCGAACGGAAAGGCCCUGCGUUUGUGGGGUGCUCGAGUGGCGAACGGGUGAGGAACACGUGAGUAACCUGCCCUUGACUUUGGGAUAACUUCAGGAAACUGGGGCUAAUACCGGAUAGGAGCUCCUGCUGCAUGGUGGGGGUUGGAAAGUUUCGGCGGUUGGGGAUGGACUCGCGGCUUAUCAGCUUGUUGGUGGGGGAGGGGCUUGCCAAGGCUGUGACGGGUAGCCGGCCUGGGAGGGUGACCGGCCACAUUGGGACUGAGAUACGGCCCAGACUCCUACGGGAGGCAGCAGUGGGGAAUAUUGCACAAUGGGCGGAAGCCUGAUGCAGCAACGCCGCGUGCGGGAUGACGGCCUUCGGGUUGUAAACCGCUUUCGCCUGUGACGAAGCGUGAGUGACGGUAAUGGGUAAAGAAGCACCGGCUAACUACGUG